rnacentral:rRNA from 1 species
UACAGAGGGGGCAAGCGUUGUUCGGAAUUACUGGGCGUAAAGGGCGCGUAGGCGGCCUUCUAAGUCGAACGUGAAAUCCCCGGGCUCAACCCGGGAACUGCGUCCGAUACUGGAAGGCUUGAAUUCGGGAGAGGGAUGCAGAAUUCCAGGUGUAGCGGUGAAAUGCGUAGAGAUCGGGAAGAACAUCGGUGGCGAAGGCGGCCAGCUGGGCCAUUGCUGACGCUGAUGCGCGACAGCGUGGGGAGCAAACAGG